AGCAUCUGUUUGCCUUUGACUUUGAUCUAUUUUUCUGUUUUAAUGUUCAAUUUCUUCUCCUGAUUUGAUGACUGAAUGAUGCUGAGGUUUUUUAGGUUUUCGUUAUUUUUUUUUUUUUUGAGUAAUCCUUUUAUGUGCUUAUUUAUUCAUUUAAUUCUUCGCUGUGUGGUUGCUAUGAUGUACUUUUGUAGAAUUUAAACGAUAUCUAUAGACAUAUCUGGUAUCUUUGGAGGAAAAAUGAGGCAAAUUAUGUGGUUGUUUUGAGAUUGGAAGGUUUCUCUUUUCACCUAUGUAAAGAAAAGAAGAGGACAGUUAAGUGGUGUUUGGCCUAGUGUUGCUUACUGGCUUCAACGAUUAACGUGGUAUUGAAUUUUUCUAAUGUGCAAUGUUUCAUGAGUUGUGGUGGUUUUGCCUUAAAUUUUUAUCAUAGUCUAUCUUGAGGUGAUUUUAGGGGAUGAAUACAAAUAACGAUUGCUGUUAGAGGAUUAAACGGAGGCAUCAGUUUGAGUUGAUAUUUAGGAAAUGAUGUAUUCAUGAUAAUUAGCUAUGUGUUGCUCCAUCUUUGGUGUAUUUUGAGUGUCCAUAGGUUGAGACUCUGUUCAAUGGGGUUUACUUGUUAUUCACUCAGGAAGGUAUGAUUUGUUGGGCUUAUUUUUCUCAUUUCGGCUGUAUAAGUUUAUUGCUGUAUAAAAUUACUGUAUAACUUUGAUAUUACAAUAAUCCCAGUGUAGAACUAGAUGUCAUUGCGUAACUUGUCAUGGAGUUGAUGGACCAUGAUGUGAUUUCACUGUUGCUUUUACUCCUACCCUAUCAAUGCCUAGAAUAUGGCCAUUAGGUGUACUGUAGAUGACUGAAUAAUUUGUCUUUUAAACAAUAAGUUGAAAAGAGUGGUUUGAUGUCAGAUUGCAAAUUUCCAGUUGAAGGCCUUUUUUUCACUCAUGAAACUUAGUAGCUGUCUCACGGGUUAAUGGAAACUUUAGUUCUGCACCUCUAUGGAAUUACGAUGACUUGCAAUGAGUUGGGUGUCCUGGUUUGGAGUUAUGUGAACAGGAAUUGUGAUGUAAAUAUACUUUGUCAUGCCUGGGUGGAAGCCUUUCUGUAAUUUGAGGUUGAUCGAAAAUGUAUUUGAUUUUAGUAUCAUUUUUUCAUAAUUGCAACUGAUUGAGAAAUAUGAAAUAAAUUCUUUAAACCAUUUUUU